ensembl:piRNA 21ur-922 ncRNA
UAAUUAAAAAUUGUUACUGUU